AUUGAACGCUGGCGGCAUGCCUACACAUGCAAGUCGAACGGUAACAGGUCUUCGGAUGCUGACGAGUGGCGAACGGGUGAGUAAUACAUCGGAACGUGCCUAGUAGGGGGGGAUAACUACUCGAAAGAGUGGCUAAUACCGCAUGAGAUCUACGGAUGAAAGCAGGGGCGCGCAAGACUUUGUGCUACUAGAGCGGCGGAUGGCAGAUUAGGUAGUUGGUGGGAUAAAAGCGUACCAAGCCGACGAUCGGUGGCGGGUCUGAGAGGACGAUCAGCCACACUGGGACUGAGACACGGCCCAGACUCCUACGGGAGGCAGCAGUGGGGAAUUUUGGACAAUGGGCGAAAGCCUGAUCCAGCAAUGCCGCGUGCAGGAUGAAGGCCUUCGGGUUGUAAACUGCUUUUGUACGGAACGAAAAGCCCCGGGUUAAUACCCUGGGGUCAUGACGGUACCGUAAGAAUAAGCACCGGCUAACUACGUGCCAGCCGCCGCUGUAA
rnacentral:rRNA from 1 species